UUGUAUUGAGAGGCUGCAGUAGGCAGGGACAAGCCUUCAAUAAGUAUCGCAAGGGUUGACAGUGAUGUUGAAUUCUGCCUUUCCUUUGCCCAGUUGUCUAUAGGACUUGCUCACAUCUUGUUGCUAAUUUGUGAUUAACAAAAUCACCUAACUAUGCAACAAAUGAGAUUAAUACAAAUGAAUCCCAAUUUGCCAACAGCACUUGAAAGGUGGUCCCAGGAUCCAGUGUGUAGCUUUAAAAGGAAACAGAUGCUUUCAUGAACUUGGUCUGAAAACACCAGAUCUGCUCUAUUGGUAAAUUUUAAUGAUUUAAGUUUACUGCUUCCAGUUCUAGAGCACGGAACUCCCAGGUAAGGCCUCCGUGAUUGGUGAAGGCCUCAUGCUGGUGAGGCUGACAACAUGUUACUGUAUCCUCAGAUGCUGGAAAGGACGUUAGAAGCUCCUGGGUAUCUCACACAGGCACCAGCCUCAGUGAUACUGUCUCAUUUCAGUGUUGUAUGUGCAUAUAUCUUCUUCCUCCACUCAUGCCUGCUAACGGGCACUAGGCUGACUCUAACCUUGGCUAUUGGGAAUGGUACCACAAUGACAUGGAUAUGCAGAUAUUCCAUUGUUUGCUGACUUAGAUUCCUUCAGCAAUAAACAGCAACCAACCAAAAAACCAACAGCUUACCUUUUGGGAUCGCAGCAUGUAUAUAGCCUCUGAAAAGUCUCCAGAAUUCCAAAUAUCACACGCCAUCUACAGAUGUUGCAGAAACUGUCUACAACUGGCAAAGUCAUGUCCCUGCUAGAGCAGGAGGCAAACCCUAGCCAGCUGCUAUGGGACAAUCUGAAGCAUCCCCGCAUCUCACAUCUGGGAUUCAAAUGAGCAGAUUCUUAUCAAUAUUUCUGUAUUUUUAAAAAGAAACCAAAGUUCUCACUACAAUCCUAUCACUGCAAUGGGGAAGUAACACACAUCCCCAGUGAGCAGUUUCAGAGCCUCUCAGAACUACCCACCACACCUCCUUAGAAACACACCAUCUAGGGCUUUGCUCCGACCUUCUGAGCCAGAAGCCUGAGGAGGGCUCACUGAGCUGGAGUCUCUUGACAUUCUUCAGGUGAUUUAAACACAGCAGCAUUUGAGAACCACAGCUCGACUGUUAGGGGGAGAGAAUACAAUGAUGUGUGAUCCAGUGACACUGGAUGCUCCUGGGAAAUCAAGUCCCUUCCCUGGGCCUCCAUGUACUUAUAAAUCAGCUCUGGUAGUCAUCCUUUCUAGUGGCUUACCUGUCAUUGAAGCUGUUGCCUGAUUGCUGCAGAGUCGGGCUUUGCUCCCAGCUCCCUCUAAUGCUAGAAGCCAGGGAGCUGCUGGGCUGUGUACAUGCCACCUCUUAGCAGCUGUAAGAGCAUGGGAUUGCUAAAUGUCAAACAUGAAGAACUUUUACAAACUGGCUGUAAAACUUGUUUGCUUGAAAUGGGCCCUGGGUAAAAAAUAUUUAUUAUUAUGAAAUUGGCAAAUGCCACAAAUUGAGACUUCACCCUCUGCAGUCUCCAGAGAGCUGCUGUCCAGUACGGGGCUGCCCCAGAGCAUUCAGGCCCCCAGCUCAGAACAUAUUAAUAAAGAAAAAAAUGCCUUUCUUGUGUUCUUCAUUUUAAGGAAUGCAGCACAGCUUUUCAGGUGGUGACUGACAAAGAUUAAGGUUGUCUUGAAAAACACAUUUGGGAACAUGAUAAAUGGAGUAGAAUCUUAUAUUUUUGGUUGUGAGCCUAGCCUUUAACGGCUGAGCCAUCUCUCCAGCCCUGGAGUAGAAUCUUGAGCAGACUCCUACAUCACCAGAGAGUUAUCUGCAGUGUUUCUCUUUAUCCUUCUGUUGCAUUUGUAAGAUAACGUUGAUCAGCAUACAUGUACACAUACUCUUAUAUUCCUUUUAUAUGACUACUUAGAUACUGUACUUUGUGAUCUGUA